rnacentral:snRNA from 1 species
GUGCUCACUUCAGUAGCACAUACACUAAAAUUUGGGAUGAUAGAGGGAAGAUUAGCAUGGCCCCUAUGCAAGGAUGACAUACAAAUUCAUGUGUCCCAUAUUUUU